rnacentral:rRNA from 1 species
GACGAACGCUGGCGGCGUGCUUAACACAUGCAAGUCGAACGGUGAAGGGGUCUGCUUUUGUGGGCCCUGGAUGAGUGGCGAACGGGUGAGUAACACGUGAGUAACCUGCCCCCUUCUUCUGGAUAACCGCAUGAAAGUGUGGCUAAUCCGGGAUAUUCUGGUUCUGUCGCAUGAUGGGUCUGGGAAAGAUUGCGCCUUUGGGUGUUUUUGGUGGGGGAUGGGCUCGCGGCCUAUCAGCUUGUUGGUGGGGUGAUGGCCUACCAAGGCGGUGACGGGUAGCCGGCCUGAGAGGGUGGACGGUCACACUGGGACUGAGACACGGCCCAGACUCCUACGGGAGGCAGCAGUGGGGAAUAUUGCACAAUGGGCGCAAGCCUGAUGCAGCGACGCCGCGUGAGGGAUGGAGGCCUUCGGGUUGUAAACCUCUUUCGCCAGUGAAGCAGGCCUGCUCCUUGUGGGUGGGUUGACGGUAGCUGGAUAAGAAGCGCCGGCUAACUACGUG